rnacentral:rRNA from 1 species
UACGUAGGGUGCAAGCGUUGUCCGGAAUUAUUGGGCGUAAAGAGCUCGUAGGCGGUCUGUCGCGUCGGCUGUGAAAUCCCGAGGCUCAACCUCGGGUCUGCAGUCGAUACGGGCAAACUAGAGUAUUGCAGGGGAGACUGGAAUUCCUGGUGUAGCGGUGAAAUGCGCAGAUAUCAGGAGGAACACCGGUGGCGAAGGCGGGGUCUCUGGGCAAUAACUGACGCUGAGGAGCGAAGGCAUGGGGGAGCGAACAGG